rnacentral:tRNA from 1 species
AGUUUUAUAAUUUAAAUAGAAUAAUAGAUUGCAAAUCUAAAAGAAUAAAAACAUUAUUAAAACUU